rnacentral:rRNA from 1 species
UACGUAGGGGGCAAGCGUUGUCCGGAUUUAUUGGGCGUAAAGAGCUCGUAGGCGGCUCAGUAAGUCCGGUGUGAAAACUCCAGGCUCAACCUGGAGACGUCACUUGAUACUGACGUGGCUAGAGUCCGGUAGGGGAGCAUGGAAUUCCUGGUGUAGCGGUGAAAUGCGCAGAUAUCAGGAGGAACACCAAUGGCGAAGGCGGUGCUCUGGGCCGGAACUGACGCUGAGGAGCGAAAGCGUGGGGAGCAAACAGG